rnacentral:lncRNA from 1 species
CCUCAAACAAAAGGAAUCAGUCCACGUUUGUUACAAAUGGUGGUCAAAUGCCACCCACACAAAAUAGUUGAAUUAAAAAAUUCAACUUAAAUACAAAUUCGCAAAUGAAAAAACCGUCUAUAGAAACAAAAGAAGUGUAGAGCCACAUCUUCAAUGUACGACACACUUCAGUUAAGUAUCCUUAAGGUUCAUGUCUUUGCAAU